GCAUUAAUGGGGUAGUGGUAACCUGGGUCGUUGCCUAAGCGACACCCCCAAAAAUGCCGCGCAGCGGCAUUUUUGGGGGUGGAGCAUUUCCGGAUUUCUCAGUCAGAAAUUCCACCCGCCGGGGGUUCGAUUCCCUCUUAAUGCA